rnacentral:rRNA from 1 species
UAAAAAAAGGUAAGCUACUAAGAGCGAAUGGUGGAUGCCUUGACUGGUAAAGGCGAUGAAGGACGUACUAGACUGCGAUAAGCUACGGGGAGCUGUCAAGAAGCUUUGAUCCGUAGAUUUCCGAAUGGGGCAACCCAAUGUAUAGAGAUAUACAUUACCUAUAUAGGAGCGAACGAGGGGAAUUGAAACAUCUUAGUACCCUCAGGAAAAGAAAUCAAUAGAGAUUGCGUCAGUAGCGGCGAGCGAAAGCGCAAGAGGGCAAACCCAGUGCUUGCACUGGGGGUUGUAGGACUGCAAUGUGCAAGAGCUGAGUUUAGCAGAACAUUCUGGAAAGUAUAGCCAUAGAGGGUGAUAGUCCCGUAUGCGAAAAACAAAGCUUAGCUAGCAGUAUCCUGAGUAGGGCGGGACACGAGGAAUCCUGUCUGAAUCCGGGUCGACCACGAUCCAACCCUAAAUACUAAUACCAGAUCGAUAGUGCACAAGUACCGUGAGGGAAAGGUGAAAAGAACUGAGGUGAUCAGAGUGAAAUAGAACCUGAAACCAUUUGCUUACAAUCAUUCAGAGCACUAUGUAGCAAUACAGUGUGAUGGACUGCCUUUUGCAUAAUGAGCCUGCGAGUUGUGGUGUCUGGCAAGGUUAAGCAAACGCGAAGCCGUAGCGAAAGCGAGUCUGAAUAGGGCGCUUAGUCAGAUGCUGCAGACCCGAAACGAAGUGAUCUAUCCAUGAGCAAGUUGAAGCUAGUGUAAGAACUAGUGGAGGACUGAACCCAUAGGCGUUGAAAAGCCCCGGGAUGACUUGUGGAUAGGGGUGAAAGGCCAAUCAAACUUCGUGAUAGCUGGUUCUCUCCGAAAUAUAUUUAGGUAUAGCGUUGUGUCGUAAUAUAAGGGGGUAGAGCACUGAAUGGGCUAGGGCAUACACCAAUGUACCAAACCCUAUCAAACUCCGAAUACCUUAUAUGUAAUCACAGCAGUCAGGCGGCGAGUGAUAAAAUCCGUCGUCAAGAGGGAAACAACCCAGACUACCAGCUAAGGUCCCUAAAUCUUACUUAAGUGGAAAACGAUGUGAAGUUACUUAAACAACCAGGAGGUUGGCUUAGAAGCAGCCAUCCUUUAAAGAAAGCGUAAUAGCUCACUGGUCUAGUGAUUUUGCGCGGAAAAUAUAACGGGGCUAAAGUAAGUACCGAAGCUGUAGACUUGCACACAACUUAGAUUAUUUAAGUUUAGAAUAUGAGAAACUAAGUUAUAUGUUUAGUUAUAUUUUUACUGAUUUUUAUAGAGUAAAGAUAGAAAUAAAACUUAGUAAAAUCAGUAAAAAUAUUCUUAGGCUAAAGUUAAGUAGUUUAAGUUGUGUGCAAGUGGUAGGAGAGCGUUCUAUUUGCGUCGAAGGUAUACCGGUAAGGAGUGCUGGAGCGAAUAGAAGUGAGCAUGCAGGCAUGAGUAGCGAUAAUUAAUGUGAGAAUCAUUAACGCCGUAAACCCAAGGUUUCCUACGCGAUGCUCGUCAUCGUAGGGUUAGUCGGGUCCUAAGUCGAGUCCGAAAGGGGUAGACGAUGGCAAAUUGGUUAAUAUUCCAAUACCAACAUUAGUGUGCGAUGGAAGGACGCUUAGGGCUAAGGGGGCUAGCGGAUGGAAGUGCUAGUCUAAGGUUGUAGGAGGUUAUACAGGCAAAUCCGUAUAACAAUACUCCGAGAACUGAAAGGCUUUUUGAAGUCUUCGGAUGGAUAGAAGAACCCCUGAUGCCGUCGAGCCAAGAAAAGUUUCUAAGUUUAGCUAAUGUUGCCCGUACCGUAAACCGACACAGGUGGGUGGGAUGAGUAUUCUAAGGCGCGUGGAAGAACUCUCUUUAAGGAACUCUGCAAAAUAGCACCGUAUCUUCGGUAUAAGGUGUG